rnacentral:lncRNA from 1 species
CAUGGAGAGCUUGGUUUCAUCUUCUUGGUUCCGCUCUGCUCCACUACCAUCUCCAUCUUACAACGGUAUAUUUUCUAGUCUUAAGAAGUUCUUUUGCUCUGGAUGUAGUAGUAUGAAGAAGUUGUUCCCUCUUGUCCUGCUGCCAAACCUUGUAAAAUUAGAAGAGAUUACAGUUACAAAAUGUGAGAAGAUGGAGGAGAUAAUAGGUGGAACAAGAUCAGACGAAGAAGGGGUUAUGGGUGAAGAAAGCAGCAGCAGCAGCAUCACCGAUCUCAAACUCACAAAAUUAAGUUCUCUAACAUUGAUUGAAUUACCAGAACUGGAAAGCAUUUGUAGUGCAAAACUGAUUUGCGAUUCUCUCAAAGAGAUUGCAGUUUAUAAUUGUAAGAAGCUGAAAAGGAUGCCAAUUUGUCUUCCGUUGCUUGAAAAUGGCCAGCCAUCUCCUCCCCCUUCUCUUAGAAAAAUUGAGGUAUAUCCAGAAGAAUGGUGGGAGUCAGUAGUGGAGUGGGAGCAUCCUAACGCUAAGGAUGUCCUUCGUCCCAUUGUACAGUUCUAGUAGGAUGAGUGACGACACUUACUGAGUAAGCAUUAUUGUUUUAAUUGGAUUAAGCUUAAGCUAUUAAUGACUGAUGUGUUUAUUAUAUGACUGAUGUGUUUGACAUUUAUUUAGAGAGUAAAACAUCCUAACGCAUGCGAUGUCAUCCGUCCCUUUGUGGAGUUUUCAUUCGUAAGCAUUCAUGUGAAACUCUUGUAAUUAAAAGUAGCUCGCUCAUAUUAAAAUCAAAUUUGCAGUCAAUCAAAAAUUUAAGGGAUUGAAUAUUUAUAACUUGAAAAGCAUGAGGACCAAAAUGAACUUUUCAUGCUAAUCUUUAAAUUACCACCCAUUUUAUCCAUUUCUUUUAAUUUGAUUCUUUUUCUUUCAAUCUUAUAUGGGCUCAACAAAUUUAAAGUAAUUGUGUUUAAAUUUAGUGAGUACAUUUCCUAUAACAAUGCAAGCGCAUGGAUAAGUGUUUUGGUUCUGCAUUGUAUAUGCGACGACGCAUUGAAUUUCCUGUAAUAAUUAGAAUAUAAUAGUUUUUAACCGCAUUUUACUACUUAAGUAAACACCAUUUAACAAUAAUAUAAAUUAUUUGUAAUUAAUAAAAGGGACUGGGUCAAUUUGGUCCAGAGAAAGAGCCCAAAUAAAAAACAAUAAAAGCCCAGGCCCAUAAACAUUUGACCCAGGUAAGAUCUAUAGUGACAGUGGUUGAUAAAAAACCAAAAACCACAUUAACGUAGUUGGAAGUUACGGCAAUUCGUCUGCCAUAGCCACAUUAUUUUUUAUAUUUAGAAAUUUUUGAAUGUUGAUUUAAAAAAAUAUCAAUAAUAUGAGAUUUGGUAUCAUAAUAUUAAUAAAGUAUUUUUUAUUUAGAAAUGUAUUAAAAUAAUAUAUUUUUUAUUUUUUAAAAUUUAUUUUUUACAUCAAUAUAUUAAAAUGAUGUUAAAAUAUAAUAAAAAUUAAAUUUUUUAAAAAAUAAUUUUUAAAAAAAUUGCCAAACAUGCUAUUUAUGAAGCAAGUUUGAGUUUGUACUUGAGGUUUCUUUUUCUCUGUCCUUUCUCUUCACGCUUAACUUCUAAACAAAGCAUUUCUCAUUCAUCCGCUCUUAUUCAGUUAGCAAUUUACAGGCCCAGGAAAAACUUAAAAUCAGAGAAUAUUAACUUUCAGAUGAUUAAUUAAAUGAAAACGUAAAUAAGAGCUGAAAUUCCAUGAUCUUCCCAUUUUCUCUGAUUAAUUUUAUCAAAGGGGAAUAGGGUGCAUGCAGUCCCCAUAAUUACUGCUUAAUGCACGUGAAGCUGGUCCCCGUAGCCUCUCUCUUUAUGGAGCUUAUCGAUCCCCAUCUGCCUUCGUCAACCAUUACGUUUAUGUCCUUCUUUUUCUUAUGGUCCAAUCAAGAAAGCAAGUGGUUGUGCAGCAUGUCUUCUUCAUGAUCAUAAUAAGAUAAGAACGAUUAAUCACGAGGACUCAUAUUACAUGCAGUAAUUAUCAAUUCAAAGGGGAAUGCCGUGGCUAUAAAUGAGGGUUUCUCUUCCUUCUAGUCUCUUCGAGGUGGGAAGACUAGUAAGAGAGUUUCCUGGUUGAAUAGAAGGCUCACUCUUUCAAUGGCAAAGGGAUAUGAUCAUGUGCUAGUUUUUAUAUGAAUAUGUACGUACAAGUAACAAUUUGGCAGCAGAAAAAUACAGAGAUCAACAUGCUUGGUAAAGGCCAAGUUUAUAGAAUGGGCUAGCUACCUGCCUGGGCUUGUAGGCACAGUAGUUGCAAGUGAUGAAGUGAAUGAGCAGAUCAAUCCACUUAACCACAACCACCUCAAUGCACAAAAUGGCUAACAAUCCUUAAUAUUAAUUGAUACGCACUUACGCUUUAUGCAUUGUUUAUGCCAAGGAUACACAUGAAGAAGAUAAGAGCGAUUAAUCAUUGAAGGAAAUGAUUUUUCAGGACCCAUUCCACUGAUAUUAAUCAUAGUAAGUUUAUGGCUUUUCUUCAUUUCUUCAAAUAUCGUUUUUCAUAUGUGCAUGUUCUUCAUCUUUUUAUCUAAAUUUUAUAUAUGGUGAAGAAUAAUACCGUCAGAAAACUCUCUAAGUUUGUAUUUCUUUGACACCUUUUAGGAGGAUGAAUGAUAAUAAUUUAUCAGGGAAGUUACCUGCUUUCUUCAGUAAAUAAACACAGGUUCAGAAUAUCUGAAUAUCUGUACCUUCUAGCAUUGCUUCCUUGACCAGACUAAGUGAUUAGUAACCAGACUAAGUGUUUUUAUAUGUGAAUUGAGCUUUUUCAAAAAAUGGUUAUCAAUGUUGCAAUGUUGUUUGGUUAUUAAUCUCAAUAAUUUUUUAUUGUGUAUAUGUGAAUUUAUAUGUGAUUUUAUUUUUAGGUUUUUUUUGUUAAAGAUAAUUUUUUUAUCCACUAGAUUCAAGAUUUAUUUCGAAAGAUGGUUAUUUCGAAAGUCUGAUUUAGGAAUCUGAAUCUCCCUAUGAUGGAUCAGAAUUGCAUAACAAUCGCCUUAUUACAUAUAUAUUUUCUUGCUAAAUAUAUUUAGAAAAAUCAUUAUUAGUUGUAAUAUUGGGAAUGAAUUAUAUUGAACUGAUUUACAUUUAUUUAUUUAUUGUAUUCAAAAAUAAUAAAAAAAUAUAUCACAGCAAUUCUGGAAACCAGGCACCAAGAAACCCCGCAUCCUCGAUGAUGAAGAAGGCGGUGUCGUUUUCUUUGCCCCCUUACUCUUCCGCCUCCUCCUCUUCCUCCAGGUUUGGAUAUGCAAGUAUUGGGAGUCAAAGGCAGAGAUUGAUUUUUAAGCUGAUGGGAAUACACUCACCUGAUGGAAAAUUCUAAGGAUGCAUUGGAGUCAGGACUUUUAAUUACUAGUAUUAUCCAAGGAUGAUUACCAAAGGAAAGGUUUUAAAUUCUGCCUUCCAUGGACUCUAGCCUCAGCAUUCCGAAUCUUACCAUCUGUUUUAAAUUAUGUGUUUGAGUAGCUUGUAAUCUUCAAUGAAUCGAAAUAUUCGAGUUGUGAAUAGUAAGGUUCUAACAACCAAUGGAAUUUCCAUUAGCUGUUGGGAUUUGUCAUUAUUGGGCAACCUACCCUAAGGAGUAGGGUUACCAUUUGUCAAUGAUAGUUGCACCCAUCAUUGACAAAUGUAUCAACCCAUGUGCAGCUGCUGUUGUUGAAGAAGAGAAGCCACCAUACUUGCCUAUUUAUAGGCAUACGUGAGAGAGCAAAAGUAGAAGAGGGUUGUGAGAAUGUGAAGAGAGUAGAGAGAAAGUGAGAGCUGCAAUGGCAGCAACCUUGCUGCCAUUGCAGCAGCUGCAAGUGCAGCAAAAGAGCUGGGAGUUGAGUUUGAGUGAAGUGAUCCUCCUCCUCCAUAUGUGUUGUAAUCAUUUCUCUAUAUAUCUCUAAUAAUAUGGACUCUCCCGUGGAUGUAGGCGGUUUUGCCGAACCACGUUAAAUAUUGUGUCCUAGUGUGCUUCCCCUCCGUUUGAGCAAUUAUCAGUACAUCCCCGGUCGGAUUUCCCCAACAACUGGUAUCAGAGCACAUGGUUUAAAGUGGUGUUUGAUUUUGCUCAAAAAUGAAAGUUGUCAAAAUUGUGUUUUGACCAUACCACUGUGUAGAGGAGGAAGAGACGAAGCCACUAGUGAAAACGGUGUCAAAAUCGGACGUCGGACAUGGCCGCACUCUCCAUCACUCUCCGGCAAGGUGUCUGCCCACGCGCGCAGACGCCCCCCACGCGUCUUCUUCGCCCGGAUGAGUUGACCCGACCCAUGUGACUGACCCGAAUAUGAAUGACAUCAGCAUGACGUAAAAGUGACGUCAGCGUGAAUAGUAGACAUGCCAGGGAUGACAUUAGCAUGAUGUAAUUGUGACAUCAUCAUGUACAGUAGCAUGGCCCAUAAUGACAUCAGCAUGAUGUAAUGGAGAUGUCAGCGUCCAGUCAGCAGACACGUCAGCACAGUGGGACCCACAUGCCACAUCACCAGCCGCGAGCUGAGCUGGGCCGAGCCGAGGGAGCCGAGCCUAAUUGGAGCCGAGCCGAGCCACGAGCCGAGGGAAAGGAUCCAGUGUAGCUGAUCCUACGUGCAACCGGAUCUGAGAUUGAAUCUGGGCCGUUCAUCAGGACAUAAUUGUUUUGAUCAAAGCUUAGCCGUCUGAAAUGCGAUUUGUAUGAUUUCAGACUUGUUUCCAGCUAAUUUGAUCGUUCUGGAUGCAAUGGUACGGUCCGAUCGUUGAAAUUUGAGACCGAAAGUGGUGGUGGUUAAUUAACAAAAGAGAUUGCCCGAUCAGGAGGCAUCUGAAGGUCGUUAUGGUGGUCGAUGGAGAUGAAGAAGAAGAAGACACACACAUUUGCCCAAUUAUGUGUGUUGAACUGCUAAGUGGUGGAAUUUUGAAAUUUGAUUUGCCUUGAAGGAAGGAAAAAUUGGGACACUCUGGACACCCGAUCAAGUGGACGAUUUGAGGUGAAGAGUGGAAAUUGACCAAGACCAAUCUUGAUGAAUCUAAGAACUGGUAGUCUCGCCAGAUGUUGAGAAAUCAUGUAUUAAACCAGUAUAUUCCAGAUCACUUGUAAAGGAAAGCCGCAACAAAGCUAGCAAAUGGUUGUAUAUACGGAAAGACAGUACGAUGGAUAGAUAUGGCCUAAGAAGUUCUGUCUAGGAGGUUGGGUUUUAAGCGGGACCAGUGUGACCCCUCCAAUCUUUCUUGGGAACUUGCUUAGUGGAAGGAUUAUCCAUACGGUACUAUUUUCGUAUAUAUAGCAGUUUGUAAUGAAACGGUUGAAGACUAGCAGGAUGACGGCACAAGGAAACAGUUGGGUUCCGUAUGUUCAAGGAUCUGAUGGAGUGGUGAUUUCUCCAAAGAAGUUAGAUUCGGUGACUGUGAUUUCUCGAAGGGAGAAUUGAUGAAGACCCUGAUAAUGGAAGAGAAAUACAGCAAGGGGAUAAAGAUUGGCACCCUAUUUUGAAUUGGACAGGUGUUGUGACAGGAUGAGCUGCUGUCAAACAUAAGCAAGGAAUAGGGAGAAAUCUGGAGAACAGAAAUUGCACGAGGGCACACGGAUAUUGUGCAGGGGUACCCGUAGGAUUCAAUGAGGUACUGUAAUGAGACACCAGGUGCAAGGAGAAGAAGUGUACCCAGAUGAAGCUCAGAGCAGAGACUGUUAAAGUUUGUACAACAGGAAGUCUCUUAUGCUCUUGAUGAAGACAACAGACGAAGACCUUUCCAAUGCAUGCAAGGAUGGAAAGAGAGCUGUUGCAGAGGCACCUAAUUGAGGGGGUGCUAACGCCUGUGAUAAAAGGCGACCGCCUAUGAUGAAAGGCGAAGACACCAAAGAGAGUUGGUGUAGGUGGAGCUGUCAAGCAGAAAGGCGUAGAAGUUCCAAACAUAGAAAUCGAGGUGGAGGAUUGCGAGGAGUAUACCGCAAGUUUCUCUUUCUAUGUAAUCAGUGGCAGUUAUCUCUCCCAUAGUGCACAUGGUGGUAGAGAACUUUUUUGGAGCCACUUUGAAGCAUCUCAGCUGAAGGAGGAUGCGACCGCCUAUGAAAGGCGAAGACACCUUGGAGAAGGUGUGAGGGCCAUGAUCGGAGCCCCAGUUCAGACCGCCCCAUGACAACGGGCGAAGACACCUUAGAGAAGGUGUAUGGGCCACAAUAGGAGCCCAAGUUCAGAACAACCCCAGAGCCAAUGUGAUGGCUGGAUAUGAGUGGAUAGAUGGAUAGCCAAUGAAGUGGCUAUGAUGAGUAUGGAGACAAAUGCAGGAUUGACUUUCAUGGAUAUUGCCCCCAUGCUAAAGAUCAAUGAGCUAGAAGACAUUUGCCUUGGACAAUAAGUGGAUGACUUGUGGAGCAUUAAGACGCGGCUGCUAUGAAGGAGCAGAGGGCAUGCGCAGGUUCCGGGAACUAGUUGACUCUUGUCAAGGUGGUGAGCUCGGUGAAGGCAUUGUAAUACUUAAAGUAUCAAGACAUAUAUGGAUCAACCUCUAAUGGGCUGCCCCUAUAGGUAAAGGUGGAAAGCUACCUGGACUCUUGAGACUAAAAGCGAGAGACUCACGGAGAAGUAAGGCGUGGUUCUUAGGGUGGAGCAGAGGGCAGGCGCAACUCCUGGAUGAGUAGACUCUUAGAAGAGUGGUGAGCUCGUGAUCAUAUUGAGAUACUCAGAUAAUGACUGUCGCACUUGGAAAUGAUAAUUUCCGUUUGAGGGGGUGUUGUAAGCCUUGGUGUGAGGCUUGAUGAAUCAUUCCGGACCGAGCAUGGUUGAUACGCUCGAAGGGGAAUGUUGUCCCAGAGACAAGCGUUAACACUCUUCAGAUGUGAAGUGGCAGACCAUCUGGUUGUAGUGAUCCUUUUGUGUGAGAAAAUGUGUGCUUUGGUGACUCUGGUGAUUGAAAGGUUUGGCGAGUACCGGUAAACUCGGCCACAGACGCUCUCGGAAUGGUAAGCUUGGAAGAGCUGCAAGAUGCAAGCCUGUGCUGAAGAAGCAAGAGGACAAUUGCCCAUAUAAAUGUCAAAGGGGGUGAUUGUUGGGAUUUGUCAUUAUUGGGCAACCUACCCUAAGGAGUAGGGUUACCAUUUGUCAAUGGUAGUUGCACCCAUCAUUGACAAAUGUAUCAACCCAUGUGCAGCUGCUGUUGUUGAAGAAGAGAAGCCACCAUACUUGCCUAUUUAUAGGCAUACGUGAGAGAGCAAAAGUAGAAGAGGGUUGUGAGAAUGUGAAGAGAGUAGAGAGAAAGUGAGAGCUGCAAUGGCAGCAGCCUUGCUGCCAUUGCAGCAGCUGCAAGUGCAGCAAAAGAGCUGGGAGUUGAGUUUGAGUGAAGUGAUCCUCCUCCUCCAUAUGUGUUGUAAUCCUUUCUCUAUAUAUCUCUAAUAAUAUGGACUCUCCCGUGGAUGUAGGCGGUUUUGCCGAACCACGUUAAAUAUUGUGUCCCAGUGUGCUUCCCCUCCGUUUGAGCAAUUAUUAGUACAUCCCCGGUCGGAUUUCCCCAACAUUAGCUUCCCUAAUUUUGAUUGCGUGAAUUUAACUAGCCUUUAUCUGAAAAUUUUGGGAGGUUUAGAAUUGAAUGAUAAGGAAGCACAGAUCAUGAGAAAGGUUUAAGAGAUUUGGUGAGGGAAAUUAGGGAAUCAAUAAGAAAUUAGGCUUAGAGGAAGACUAGCUAUUAAAGUCAUUGCAAUUUGCAAGCAACUUCAUGUUUUUUUACUCUAAAAAAUAAAACAGAGGUGCAAAUCCCUUGUGCUAUCUUUGUCCUGUAUGCAAUGAUUACUCCCAUGGAGACCACCAUGCAAAGUUUAAGUCACUUUCUUCUUUAUUUAUUCAACGAGUUCAUAUUACACUGCUUUAAGUCCUCGAGUCUAAUGAAUUAAUGAAGAUAGAAACUCCAAAGAAAAUCACUUGGCCAGAAAUAACAUACUUCAGUACUGGGGUCAGCAGCUAGCAUGGAUAAAACUAUCUCCUUCCUUGUUAGAGAGGGCUCUGACAUUGCUUCCCAUCUGGCACACUGUAACUUGCAGAUCCGUUUGGCUUUUGAGCUGUGGACUCCCCAUCACUUCAACUGAUUUGUUGUUUGUUUGACCACAAGAUAUUGAUUGUCUAGGGAAAUUCCAAGGACGCAUUGGGGUCGGAACUUUUAAUUGCCAGUAUUAUCCAAGGAUGAUUACAUGCUGCAUGCUUCUAAGACAAAUAAAAAAUUUAUCGGUUCAUUUAAUGUAUUAGUUCUAAGUCAUUCAACAUAUUGCUAGUUCGUGAUCAUUCCACUUUUCUUGUUCCUGCUGUUGUCCAUUAACUCUCGUAUUUCUUGACUUAUCUGUCAGUAAAAUGAUUAAUGUUUCUUUCAAUUUUGAUGCCUGCAUAACGUAUCAGGAUAAAUACAACAUUAGUAAUGCGAUCCAACCAUCAAAGAAUUCAUUGGAAGUUCCAGUUAAUCUAAUUACUAGGCUUAGGGCCAACUAAAAAGUUCAAAGAAGCUUUCAAUGGACUUCUUCAUAAGACAUGGGCUAAGGUGGACUUCAAGAGGAUUUGUAAUAAUAAAGAGCAAGCCUUGAUUAAUCUGAUUCAUGUUCAAGAGGGGCUUGUUGGUAGAACUAAGAUCAUUACACAAGGAUUGGGAGAAGAAGACUAGAUUCGGAUAGUUUGACCUUUUAUUACUCUUUUGGUCAUAACUGGAGCUACAUAUAUAUUUUUUAUGUGAUUCAAGUUGUUCUGGAAACUAGACUUCCAUACAUUUCCAACGGUAUUGUCACGAAUCGAAUUCCGGGUCCAUGACCGGCAACACAAGAGCGGUGUCAAAAGGACACCCCACCUACGCUAAGCCUCAAAACAGACAUAUCAAAAGAACUAAAAAAAUACGCAGUUGAGGUGCGCGCAAGCUGGCCCGGACACCCACGUUAAACUAAAAAAAAAGAAAAGAAAAAAAAAGAACAAUUUAUUCAAAAAAACACAGCAUUUCAUAAUCUUCAAAAAUAUUAUAUUAUUCAAAACUGAUAAAACCAAAAGAUAGUUUAAAACUCCUCAUCAGUAAUUAAAACAAAAAUAAUAAUCCAUAAUACUCAUUACAUUGUCAAAAUCCAAACUUAAUUAAAACAAGGCAAUAGUGGAGCGUCUAAGACAUCAAAUCAAAACUAAAAGGAAAGCCUCGAAAAAUAAGCAAGGCAUACCAACAUAAAACUGAAGAAGUAGGAACACUCAACAAAGUUCACCUGCUAUCAGAAACUAAGAACUUGAAAUAAUAUUAAGAAUGAGGGGUGGGUUCAACCAACUCAGUGAGGAAAUAAUAUUUAAUAUAUAUUUUAGAUAUUAAUAGUUUGCAAGAUGAUUUAUCUUGAUAUACAUAUACAUAUACAUAUACAUACUAAACAUAUUAUCAUAACGUAGUGAAAUACAUGUCAGAGAUCAGAUGACACCCGAAGGUGACCAAAUGACACCCGAACGUGACCUGAUGACACCCGAAGGUGACCACUAUGGGAUGAUCAGUCACCACAGGCUGAUGUCUCUCUCAACAGCUAGGUAUACAGAAUAUUAUGUGCACAUAGACUAACUACUCUCCAUUAGCAUGGAGUUACUGACAAGUCCCAUAUCAAGGCAUAAUAGAUGUCAUAACCCAAUUUUUGACCUAUUUUAAUUAUUAUUAUUAUUUUAUUUAUUGAAAAAAAUUGAUGAUGGAAAAAAAUAAUAAUAAUGAUAGAAAAAUAAGUCAAAUGAAAUAAAUGAAGAAUGAAUUAAAAUUUGGGUUAAGGGCAACAUGAUUGGAAGUUUUGGGGUUUAAUUAAACCUUGGAAAUUAAUCUAAUUAAUCCAAUCAAGGGUUUAAUUGGAGAAUUAAUAAAGUUUUGAGACUUAAUUAAAUUUGGAAUUAAUUUAAUUAAUCCAAUUAAGGGUUUAAUUGGAGAAUUGAUAAGUUUUGAGACUUAAUUGAGCUUAGAAUUAAUUUAAUUAAUCCAAUUAAGGGUUUAAUUGGAGAAUUGAUAAGUUUUGAGACUUAACUGGACUUGAAUUUAAUUUAAUUAAUGAAAUCAGGGACUUAAUUGAAGAAUUACCAAAUUUUGGGGUUAAUUGGGGGCAAAAUUGUAAGAAAUUAAAACCCAAGGACUGGACUGCAAAAAUUCAAAACGUCAAGGAUCAAAACGCAAAUGGCCAUUAACAUUAACACUGUUCAUCUUCUUCACCUGAAAAAAGAAGAAAAACGGAUGCCUUUAUUGCAUUAAAAUCCAUGCGAUUACAUGGCAUUCUCUGGUUAUAAAAACCAGAUAAGGAGAACCGGCCAGGGGAGGAAGAAAAAGGAAGAAAAACUAGGGACUGAAAAGGGGAGAGUGCACUGGACAGGGGGAGAGGAGGAACAGAAAAAAAAAAAAAGCCAGAGGCUGCGCAGAGAGAGACGGAGAGAAAAAAAACCAGGUCGGAGAGACGAAAAAACCGAGGAGACAGAGGACGAACAAGCAGAAAAACCAGAGGAGAAAACACGAAAAAAAACCAUUAGAGAGAGAGGAAAGCCCAGGAAAUAAACACACAGGGAGAACAAGAGAACAACCCAGAAGGGCGAACCAGAAUUGCAGGACUGUUAUUCGCCUGUUUCUUCUCAAAGAAACAGAGGAACGCGUAGAACCAAAGAAGACAGGGACACGAAAAAGCCAGGGGGGAACACAGAGGAUAGAGGAACGAAAAAAAGAACAAAGGGGUAAUUGAAACAGAAAGAACACAGGAGCAUACAAGAGAAACAGACCGAGAGAGAGUAGAGAGAGUUUGAAAAACAGAGCACGGGGAGAAUUUUUCUGUCGAGAGCAGAAGAAACAGAGGGCAAGAAGGCAGAGGUGGAAGGAGGAAUCCCAGUUUCCUAUCAACGGACGCCAUCACCGAUCUUCGCCCAAGACACUAACACUCCGGCGAAGCAACCUGCAGCAAGGUAGGCCUUCUCUGUUUCUUCGUUUUGUUUCGAAAAUUUCAGUGCAUUUAGCACUGUGCGAAGGUAAUUAAUUACCCUCGCACAGCGCCAUGCACGCAUGAAUCUAGUUCAUGCGUGCUGUGGCCCAGCCGGGUCACUGGUUUGGGCCAGUGACCGGGCUGGGCUGGCUGGGUCUAGCCCAGCCCAUGUGGGCUGAGUUGGACCCGGCCCCAAAAAUAAUAAAAAAUAUAAAAAAAUAUAAAAAAUAGAAAAAAUAGAAAAAUAUGUGUAUGCAUGAAUGAAAAUAAUAUAAAUUUACUGGUUUAUUCACCCACGCCAGAGUCGGGAAUAAAAUACUAGUUUAAGUUUAUAUUAUUUUUAUUCGUUAUAUUUUUUAUUUAGCAAAAAACAUAUACGUGCAUGUAUUUAUUUAUUUACUGAUGCCAGAGUCAGGAAUAUAAAUACUGAUUUAAUUAUUCUCUUUGUUUUUUUUAUUAUUAUUUUAACUACAUAAAAAAAAAUAUGUGAAUGCGUAAAUUUAGUUUAUUUGUUUAUUCACUAGCGUUAGAGUCAGGAAUAAAAAAAAUAUUAAUCUGAAUUUAUUUUUGGUGGCUAUGAAUUUUUACCAACGCCAGAGUUGGAAUUAUUUGUAGUAGAAUUUUUACCAACGCCAGAGUUGGAAUUAUUCGGGUGGAAUUUUUACCAACGCCAGAGUUGGAAUUAUUCGCGAUCGAAUAUUCACUGGCGCUAGAGUCAGGAAUAUUAUAAACAAAUCAUCAUAGCAUAAGCGAAUAAAUGUUUAGCAAUUUAAGACAAAACCAGCAAUGCAGUCUGCCUUAGGCAGAACGUUUAAGGGGUGAUAAUAUCUUCCCUUUUACGUAACCAGUCCCGUACCAUAGAAUCUCUGUUGACCAGUUAGGGUUCCUAGUGACCAUAAUACUAGGUGGCGACUCCUUAAACAAGACAUUUUUCCUAAAAGAACAAGAUGCCAGAAAUCUGUUCCUUUUCCUAAUCAGAAAUAUUUUGUGGGACCGCCGCGAUGUCGGGUGCGACAAUAGAUAUUUACAGAAUCAUCAAAGAAACGUAUAUCAUAUCAAAUAGAAUUUAGUUCGACAGAUUACGAGUGCAAAUUCAAGAAUAAAUGAGUACUCGAAAAAUAAAGCAAUAUAUAUAAAUAUUCAAGAAAUUUACUGGUUGUACUCACAUAUAAUCAACAUACAUGUUUAUUUAUAUUAUAUACAUAUUAAAGAUUAUCCACUCACCCGGAAGAAUAUAGAUUAAAAGGAAUAUCAGAUGAAAGACCCGAAAAACCUAUUAAGGAUCGUUAGGAGAACCUACAAUAAAUAUAUAAAAUAUACUCAAAAGCAACUCAAAACAACACAAAUAAAAUAUUCCAAUGCAUAAAAGAAAACCACGCUUAGUCUCCUAUGUUUAGGGACUAAAACGACAAUUAUCCAAAACAGGGACCAAAAUGUAAUUUUACCAAAACUGGACCAAACUGUAAAUACAUAACCAUACUGAAAUUUCACCCAUAAACCAUCCUUAAUUCUGUCUAGAAUGAACCAGGGACCUAACUGUAAUUUUUAAAAAGUUUAGGGACUAAAAUGUAAAUUCCCAAAAUUGAGGGACCAAACUAAAAAUAUUCCAAAUCAAUUAUCAAGAUGAGAUUCAUCAUCAUUAACCUUAUAAUAACACUAUCCAGAAUCUCAAAAUACAUUUAGGGGUCAAAUUGUAAUUCUUCUGAAGUUUAGGGACUAAACUGAAAUUUUCAUCAAUCAAGGACCUAAAUAAAAUUUGGUCAUCUUCAACCUCAAGACCAUUCUGUACAGAUUUUACAGCAAGGUAAAAAUGAAUUUCUUAACCCAUAAAAAUUAAUUUAAACAAAUCAACUCAUAAAUCCUUAUUUUCAACAACAUACUAAUUAAUCACCUAACAUUAAACCCUUAAUAAUCAUAAAUCAAUCUUAACAAUAUAAACUUCCAAUCCUUAUAAACCCUAAUCUCUUCUUUAAUCAUUCCUUAAACAACUAUAAUCGAAAGUAAUAUGAAAGAGAAUCACUUACUUGCUACUUCCACCUUUCUUGAAUCGAAAAUUCAAGAUCAAAAACUAAAAUCUUAGGUUUGAGGAGGGGAGGGUCACAACGGCUACAAGAAUUAGAAGAGAGGAAAGUAAUUCUCUUGCAACUUUUCCUUAAAUACCUAGGUUAACUUAGGUUGGGUUUGGGCUAACAUGGGCUUAGGUUUGGGUCAAAAUAUUGGGUCUUACAGGUAUAUAGCACGCCUUCUAAUUCAUUAAGACGAGAGAGAACCAUCUGUUUUAAGUUGAACUUUUGUUGCUGCUCCCAGACAGAAUGCAGAAACAACAAACUUGUCUUAUUUAAUUAUUUGGGCUAUCAAACUUUAUUUAUUUUGAGAGAAGACAUUUUAUUUAGGUCUUAGACUUUUUUAUUUUGUUUAUUUUAAUUAGUUUGGGCUAGUUUUAACCUGGGUUGAUUAUUAUUUAAAUUAGGCUUAUGUGAGACCCAUUAGGAAAACUAGGGUUUUGGCUUGGAGUUUAAAUACUCUUUAGGAAUAAUUUUAGGGCAGACUUGUGAUUAUAUUUUCAGCAUUGUAGCCGACUUUUUAGUUGCUUAAUCUUGGUUUUUGAUUGAACCUGCAUCUCUUCAAAGAAUUGACCAUUCUUUGUUGUGAAUUUAUACUUUCUUUGCUCGUCUCCAGAUGUAAGCGUUGUAAUCGAGUUGGUUUAUAGUAUUGCUGUCUUGGAGCAAGUCUUCCAUUGUAAUAAGCUCAUUCAAAUCUCAACAAACUUGGAUUAGAUUAAUUUUGAAGUCGCGAAUUCCAUUAAAUUCCGUUAAGGUUCGUAUCACUUAGUAUUGUUUGUGGCUGACAAGGGUCUGAAAAAGCCUCUCUAUACCUCUCCACGUUUGAACAAGGGAGAAGUUCUAUAUUUAGAAACACAUUCAUGCAGGUACUCCCUCUUUUUUUUCUUUCUUUUUUUUCUUUUGUGCUUUCUAACUUGAGAAAAUAUGUUAAAAAUAAUAUAAAUCAUAAAAACACUAAAUCUAUAUAAGUUUUUGUACAUCACAAACUGAUUUUGGAGCUUAAAAAUAUUCCCUUGUGAAAUAAAUUAAAUAAAUAUGAAGUUUCAGUUUUCUUCAUUGUCACGACCCGAAUCCCGGAUCCAUGAUCGGCACAUAGGCAAGGUUCCCCUCCAAGGUUCCAUACCUAUGCGAACCCAAACUUAUCCUAACUCAAUCAGAGUUCAACAUAGCAUUUACAUCAAAAUCAACUUCAUAAUAUAAUUCGAUUGUCUUAAUACAAGAGUUCAUAUAAAUUCAGAGUUUUGAAGCACUAACUAGACAUAAAGAGAAAAAGGUACAAUUUACAACCAAAAGAGCAGGUUCUGAAGGUCUAACAAAAUGACCUGCUAUCAAGCUAUAAGCUUGAAAAUGUUAAAUAAUGAGAUGGUGAGUUCAACAACUCAGUGAGUAGAUAACGCUCAAUACACACACACGAGGUAAUACAACAAUGAGAAAUAUAUAUACAAGUAUGGCUUUAGGUUCUUAUGGAAAUGUUUCUCAAAUUGGCCAUAACAAGAAGAUCAUAUAGUAAAACUCGUCAGAAAAUCAAAAUGCAAUGAGCAUGAGGCUCCGUACUUGGGAUGAUCAGUCCACACAGGUUGGUGACUCCCCCGACCAACUAGGGUUCAAAUACGAUGUGCACAAAGACUAACACUACCCUGUUAGCAUGGGUAUUCUGACUGGCAUACCAUAGGUUCAUAAUCAUAAUCAAACAGACAUAUUCAUAUCUCAAGACUCAACUCAUGACUUCAAUCAAAUGAGGAGCUAUCAAUUCAGAAUUCGAUUCAAAAUAUAUACUGGUUCAUAUCAAGAAUUCAGAUUCAAUAAUUCAUACCAAAAAAAAAAUAUUGAGUUACAAACAUUGUCUUUUGGUAUCAAUGAUUAGACUGGUUAUUCAUCAAAGAAAAAGUUGGAUUUGCAUUAUGAUCUAUGGGAAGAGAAUGCUUAUAUUUAAAGUUAACAUAGUUAUAUGUCAUUUCCUCUACAAAGACAACAAGAGAAGAAAAGUUGAUGAAUAGUUGAUGUUGAUCCUAGGUCCCUGAAACCCUCAAACACUUUUUGAGCCUGUGAAUUCCCUUUCUUUCAUAGCCAUGAACCAUAGCCUGCAUUACGUGCUUUUAAAAGCCCUUUUCGAUCAAGUAAGCAAUCUGAACCGAUAAAUGACGCUCUCAAAACUGGAAGAGCUUUUCUAUAAGGGUCGUGACUUCAUGAAUUAAGCUACUGGUUAUUAUGUAUGUUGAUAAAAUAAAUGCUAAGAAAAGAAACAAACUUUCUUGAUAAAGCCUAAUCAUCUUGUUUUUGAAAUUCAUAAAAACGUCACCUCAUCACAGACCAUCAAAAGAUAUACCCAAAAUCAGAGUUUAAAGUGGACACAAAGAACCAUGGGAAAGGCCAUUUUAAUCUUACAACGAGUUGAUUUCUGUUUUCAAAAUACAAGACAAUCAAAGGACUACAUUGAAUGACUUGUGUUGGGUCUUCGACCAAAAAGCUGAGUUUUAAAAGAUCUUUUUCAAAACUGACAUCACUCUGAUUUCAUUUCAACAAUUAGACUUGAAUAUACAUGACAUUGGAAGUAUGAGAUUUGAUUCCAGAACAAGAAAGAUUGUCGAACAAUGAAGAACAUCGAGCGAGUCUGCGAAAUAUUUGACAUGAAAUGACAUCAACUCUUCUCAAUACUCCUUGAAAAAUUGAGACACUUUGGGGGCAAUACAGUGGACCCUGAGAAGAAAAACAAGCAAUAUUUAGAUUAGCUGGGUGCAAUGAAAGAUGAUCAAAUGAUGAAUCAAUGCACUGAGGACAACGGUGUUUAAAGAAAUGCUAAUCAGCAGAACAAGCAUUCAGAUCAUUAUUGGGGGCAAUGUUAUUAAAAAACAUUCCAUGAUCUAGUGAACUCUAGCAUCAAUUGAGGGACAACCUCGUAUCUUCAUCUUGGGGUUACCCUUUGAAACAUGGCUAUGACAAAUGUUAUCGCAUCGUUGCAUUGGAAUGAAUGUCAUAAAGAUGCACACCACCAAGACUGACUGUGGGACCAUCUAUUCUGAAGCUCAAAUGCGCACUUCACUGUAUGAAUAUGGGUGAUAACAUGAACAUCAUUGAUGAUGUCGAGACAUUUCUUUCCACUAUCUGAUUUGACAAGCUGAGAGGAAUCCAUGAGAAAGAACAUUGAGCAUACAACGAUGAGUCUUUCACUGCAAGCUAUGAGAUGCAUGUCUGGAUGACUGGAUGAUUUCCAUGAAGACUGGUGAUAACAUAUACUUGAAGAAUAUUGUUUCAAUUGGAGGCAAGUUCAUGACUGGUUGACCAUCUUGAUGGGUGUUGGCAUGAUGCACACAACCAAUCAGAAGAUAAUUUUCAGAAGAAUCCAGGAGAGAAAAUCCUUCAUGAUGAAUCAAGCAACACCACACUUCGGGGCAGAGUCAAGCUUGAUAAACAACGAGAGCAGUAAUUGUCGUGGACAGCUUAGGAUGGGCACUGCACUUACAUCUGAGUGAUGGCUAUCACAUGAAUGGGCCAAUGCAUCAAAAGAACAAAUAAAGCUUUGGAAUGCAAACAAAGGCACCCUAUGACGAUGGAUCAUCAAAGGGGGGGACCUAUAUUUCACAUCAGGUAAGGAUGCAUGCAUGUCAUCUAACCUCAAAGCAUUACACAUACUUGUGAUUUGUUACAGAAAGAUCCUCAAUGAAGUCCAGCAAGAUUGUGGACAAAGAAAGAAUCAUUGAGUUGAGGAUGACAAAGAAUCGGUUUAGAUCCUGGAACAAGAAGAGAAUGAGAUGAACCUUGCUAGUAGGAGAAUCUCAAAGAAACAAGGAGAUUAACCCCGUCAUCAAGAGGAGUCUUCAAGUCAACCUGCAACCAGAAGGUGCCAAGUUUGUCAGCCUUGUCCUGUCAGGACUGCUCCAACCAAGUUUUUUUGCCAGGUAAGUCACAUUCUGUCUUUGGGUAGGUCACCGUAACAAUGAGACCAUUUUUUUGAAAAAAAACAUCAUUUUUCUGGGUAGGUCACCCAUCACAAUAAGACCAUCAUUUUUUCUGGGUAGGUCACCCAUUAUAAUGAGACCACACUUCACAUUCUUUCCAUUUGGGUAGGUCACCCAUCAUAAUGAGACCGCUUUCCAUAUUCUUUCCACCUGGGUAGGUCACCCAUAACAAUGAGACCACUUCACAUUUUUUCUAUCUUCCAUCUGGGUAGGUCACCCAUAACAAUGAGACCACUUCACAUUUUUUCUAUCUUCCAUCUGGGUAGGUCACCCAUAACAAUGAGACCACUCCAUAUUUUUUCUAUCUUCCAUCUGGGUAGGUCACCCAUUAUAAUGAGACCGCACCUCACAUUCUUUCCAUUUGGGUAGGUCACCCAUCAUAAUGAGACCGUUUUUCACAUUCUUUCCACCUGGGUAGGUCACCCAUUACAACGAGACCAUUUGUUACACACAUUUUUUAGUUUUGAUUUAAUGAGAUCGCCAGAUGGGAUCUCAUGUAGCUUUGGUUAAAGGGAAUCGCCAGAUGGGAUUUCAGGUUGACCAAGCUACACAUAUUUUUUUAAGUUCCAGUUGAAUGAGGUUGUCAGAUGGAAUCUCAUGUAGCUUUGGUUAAAGGGAAUCGCCAGAUGGGAUUUCAGGUUGACCGAGCUACCAUAUUUUUUAGUUCCACUUUAAUGAGGUCGCCAGAUGGGAUCUCAUGUAGCUUUGGUUAAAGGGAAUCGCCAAAUGGGAUUUCAGGUUGACCGAGCUACACAUAUUUUUUAGUUCCAAUUUAAUGAGGUCGCCAGAUGGGAUCUCAUGUAGCUUUGGUUAAAGGGAGUCGCCAGAUAGGAUUUCAGGCUGACCGAGCUACACAUAUUUUUUAGUUCCAAUUUAAUGAGGUCGCCAGAUGGGAUCUCAUGUAGCUUUGGUUAAAGGGAAUCGCCAGAUGGGAUUUCAGGUUGACCGAGCUACACACAUUUUUUUAGUUUUGGUUUAAUGAGGUCGCCAGAUGGGAUCUCAUGUUGGUUCUGGUUAAAGGGGAUCGCCGGAAGGGAUCUCAGGUUAGCCCAACCACACACAGGAUAUUGGUUCUGGUUAAAGGGGAUCGCCGGACGGGAUCUCAGGUUAGCCCAACCACACAAGAUUUUGGUUUUGGUUCAAGGAGAUCACCAGAUAGGAUCUCAAGUUAACGAAAAAAGAGAGAGAAAUAAAGAAAAAAAAGAAGAAAGAAAGAAGAGGAAGAAAAGAGAAGGAAGAGAGAACAGAGAAAAAAAAAAGCAAGGUCUUUAGAUGAGUGGAUAUUGAGCAAGUUAAGCAGACAGAAAGACAAGUUUUUCUUUACAAAGUUUACUAUGCAAAACAUUAAGGAGUUUUGCUUCGUAAGCAUUGUAAAGAGGGGGCAUCUGUUGCUAUCCAAUUUUUGACCCAUGUUUUGAUAAAUUUUCAGAAAAAUUCAAAAAUAGCAAAAAACAUUGAAAAUCCAAAAAAAUAUAUUUUUAAUACAUUUGCAUCGUUUUUAGCAUUUUUAGCAUCGUCUCAAAAGAAUUUAAAUUUUCAAAGAUAUUUGGAACGCGUUCAACUUUUAACGCAUUAUUUUUAAUCAUUGAUUUUCCUCAUUGAGUCGAUGUUGAUAUUGCUCGUUUUCAAAAAAAGACAAAAAAAUAAGAAAAAUCAAAAUUUACAAAAAAAAGAAGUGGAGGGACCAAAUUUUGAGGCCCAAGCAAUAUUUUACCUAUAAAUAGUAGCCUUCAACACACAGAAUGAGAGGGACAAUUUUGAAACAUCAAAAAAAUACCAAAAAAAAACCCUAACCCUAAACCUAUCCUUUUUUGAAGGAGCGGCGCGCCCCCCUUCCCUAGGAGCAAAAAACCAGAGAGAGCAGGGGCGGCCGCAAGCCUUCCUUCCCCUGUUUACAGAGGCCGACCGCCCCUCCCCUUUGAUUUUCUUCUUCCCCUCAGCAGCCGACAACAAACUCACAGCCCCCUCUCUUUCAAAACCAAACCGGAGCAGCCACUCCGUUCCCCCAAGCCACAAAUCUUCCCUCUCUCACCUGAAAAACCAGUCAAACCCCGAACCCGUCGCUACCCACAGAUCAUACCCACAUUCCCCCUGCCAAACGCCAUUUCCUUUCCUUCUCUUCCCCAGAUCGGUUCUUCCCUCUCAACACAGAACAACCUUUCCCUCAUCAACAGCCGCCUCCAGCAUUUCCUUCCCACAGCAGCCGACCACCACACCGACACCCACCGAUCUGUCCAUUCCUCUGCCUCAACACCGCCAGCAACCUCUCACAUUCUUGCAGCAGCUCCAGCGGCCGCAGGCUGCAGCAGCAAAGCCAAUUGAAGCCGGCGAUCAGACCACUUCGUUCUCCUCCAUCUCCGCCAAACCGGACACCAGCAGCUGCACAGCCGUCGACCGAAGCACAUCCACACUGCUGGCCGCUUGAAACAGGGAACAAAGGGGAAACAAAAACAAACCGAGCUGCGAAGAGAGAUGCAGAUCUGCAAAACAAAAGAGAAAAACAAAACUAAAAUCAACUGCUGUUUUGCGUUGUUUCCCUUGUUGCAGGUGUCGGUGACCUUCACCGCCGGCGUAGGAAGACAGAGAAGAGGAAGACGGCCCCGAUCCACCGGUUCUGCCACCUUCAGCGGCGGCGGCGCGUGAAUCCACACGCCGCCAGAGGCGGGGCACGUGGAACAACGCGCCGCCACUGUUGCUGCAGUGCAGAAGGCCUCCCCUGCAAUUUAUGGAGUGUUUAGGGGCUAUUUUGUAAAUUUAAAAUUGUGUAAUUUAAUUUUUGUUUAGUUUUGAAUUUGUAUUUCGAAGUGUAGAUGAAAAACAAACAAAAAGAAGAAAAAGAAAAGAAAACAAUAGUGAAAGUGUAUUAUGGGUGUGUUUGUUUGUUUUUUUUAAUGAAUGUUUUAUUUAUAUAUUUAUUUAUAAUAAAAUUGUAAAGAUUAAAGAAGAAUUUAAUAUUUUGAUUGGAUCACGGUCAAGAAUUAUUAACUUAUACGUAAGUUGUAUUUCUAAUAUCCGAUGAAAAGAUAAAAUUUUAAAACUUCUUUAACACGUCAAAAUCACGAAGCAGCUUACCUCAGGUAGGGUGUGUUAGGGGUGCUAAUACCUUCCCUAACCACAACCAGUCCCUUACCCGCGAAUCUCUGACAAGACCAGUACAUCCGGUUUUCUAGUAGCCUUCAAUAAAUUACUAGGUGGCGAUUCCAGUGAAUCAAUCAAAGCAAACAAUAAACGAGAAGAUGAAAAAGAUCGCCAGCUCGAUGCCGCGCGGAUUUUUCGACGUGCGACAACUAUAAUCGAAAGUAAUAUGAAAGAGAAUCACUUACUUGCUACUUCCACCUUUCUUGAACCGAAAAUUCAAGAUCAAAAACUAAAAUCUUAGGUUUGAGGAGGGGAGGGUCACGACGGCUACAAGAAUUAGAAGAGAGGAAAGUAAUUCUCUUGCAACUUUUUCUUAAAUACCUAGGUUAAUUUAGGUUGGGUUUGGGCUGACAUGGGCUUAGGUUUGGGCCAAAAUAUUGGGUCUUACAGGUAUAUAGCACGCCUUCUAAUUCAUUAAGACGAGAGAGAACCAUCUGUUUUAAGUUGAACUUUUGUUGCUGCUCCCAGACAGAAUGCAGAAACAACAAACUUGUCUUAUUUAAUUAUUUGGGCUAUCAAACUUUAUUUAUUUUGAGAGAAGACAUUUUAUUUAGGUCUUAGACUUUUUUAUUUUGUUUAUUUUAAUUAGUUUGGGCUAGUUUUAACCUGGGUUGAUUAUUAUUUAAAUUAGGCUUAUGUGAGACCCAUUAGGAAAACUAGGGUUUUGGCUUGGAGUUUAAAUAAUCUUUAGGAAUAAUUUUAGGGCAGACUUGUGAUUAUAUUUUCAGCAUUGUAGCCGACUUUUUAGUUGCUUAAUCUUGGUUUUUGAUUGAACCUGCAACUCUUCAAAGAAUUGACCAUUCUUUGUUGUGAAUUUAUACUUUCUUUGCUCGUCUCCAGAUGUAAGCGUUGUAAUCGAGUUGGUUUAUAGUAUUGCUGUCUUGGAGCAAGUCUUCCAUUGUAAUAAGCUCAUUCAAAUCUCAACAAACUUGGAUUAGAUUAAUUUUGAAGUCGUGAAUUCCAUUAAAUUCUGUUAGGGUUCGUAUCACUUAGUAUUGUUUGUGGCUGACAAGGGUCUGAAAAAGCCUCUCUAUACCUCUCCACGUUUGAACAAGGGAGAAGUUCUAUAUUUAGAAACACAUUCAUGCAGGUACUCCCUCUUUUUUUUCUUUUAUGCUUUCUAACUUGAGAAAAUAUGUUAAAAAUAAUAUAAAUCAUAAAAACACUAAAUCUAUAUAAGUUUUUGUACAUCACAAACUGAUUUUGGAGCUUAAAAAUAUUCCCUUGUGAAAUAAAUUAAAUAAAUAUGAAGUUUCAGUUUUCUUCAUUGUCACGACCCGAAUCCCGGAUCCAUGACCGGCACAUAGGCAAGGUUCCCCUCCAAGGUUCCAUACCUAUGCGAACCCAAACUUAUCCUAACUCAAUCAGAGUUCAACAUAGCAUUUACAUCAAAAUCAACUUCAUAAUAUAAUUCGAUUGUCUUAAUACAAGAGUUCAUAUAAAUUCAGAGUUUUGAAGCACUAACUAGACAUAAAGAGAAAAAGGUACAAUUUACAACCAAAAGAGCAGGUUCUGAAGGUCCAACAAAAUGACCUGCUAUCAAGCUAUAAACCUGAAAAUGAUAAAUAAUGAGAUGGUGAGUUCAACAACUCAGUGAGUAGAUAACGCUCAAUACACACACACACGAGGUAAUAUAACAAUGAGAAAUAUAUAUAUACAAGUAUGGCUUUAGGUUCUUAUGGAAAUGUUUCUCAAAUUGGCCAUAACAAGAAGAUCAUAUGGUAAAACUCGUCAGAAAAUCAAAAUGCAAUGAGCAUGAGGCUCCGUACUGUGGGAUGAUCAGUCCACACAGGUUGGUGACUCCCCCGACCAACUAGGGUUCAAAUACGAUGUGCACAAAGACUAACACUACCCUGUUAGCAUGGGUAUUCUGACUGGCAUACCAUAGGUUCAUAAUCAUAAUCAAACAGACAUAUUCAUAUCUCAAGACUCAACUCAUGACUUCAAUCAAAUGAGGAGCUAUCAAUUCAGAAUUCGAUUCAAAAUAUAUACUGGUUCAUAUCAAGAAUUCAGAUUCAAUAAUUGAUCAUGCUUUAUCAAAACAAGGAUAAUAAUCAACAUAUAUAUUAUCAAGAAGCAUGAUCCAAUUCAUAUUAACAAAUCAAAUAUUUAUAAUAUUUCUCAUGCAUAUGGAAAAUUAUCCACUCACCUGACUCGAAAGCAAACAUAAGUCAAAAGCAGACACCGAAGAAAAUCCUACUGACGUCCCGCCGGUAGAAUAUCAGGAUUAUCUGAAUAUAAAGGAGACAUAUUCAAGAAUGACUCAAAAGAAUAUAACCUAUUUAAUACACUUAUCUAAGGGUGUAUUCCAUAACCCUAUAUGUUUUUGAACUAUCUAGUUAUUUUUUCUAAAAACCCAACAUUUAACGGUUUUCCCGAAAUCUAAUCCAUAAUAAAAUAAAUAAUAAAAUUUAUAAUAAUCCCCAAUUAUUCAUCAAACCAAUCUAAAAAAGGUAAUAUUACAGCUAGGGACUAAUCUGUAAUUUAUCAUACUUUUAAGGGUCAAAUUGCAACUUUUGUCAAAUUGAAGGACUAAACUAAAAUUAUCAUAAAUCCAUGACUAUACUGAAAUUAUGACUAUAAUUAAUCCUCAAUUCUGUCCAGAUCAUCUCAUUAUACUCCAGGGACCAUUCUGGAAUUUUACCAAAUUUUUAGGGUCAAAUUGUAAUUUUUGUCAAAUUGGAGGACUAAAUUGAAAGUGUUAAAAUUUCAUAACUAUACAGGAAUUCUGCCCAUAAUUCAUAUGUUAUUCUGCUCAGAUUCUCGGAAUAGGCUCCAUGGACCAUUUUGCAAAUUUUCCAAAGUUUGGGGACUAAACUGUAAUUUUCCAAAAUUGAGGGACCAAACCAAAAUUUUGUCAUCUUCAACCUCAAACCCAGAAUUCUCACAGAUUACCUACUGUUCUUUCCAAAAUUCUAACUCAACAUUCACCAUUUACACAAUUCAUAACUCAAAAUCAUCACAAUCUUCCAUAAUCAACUCAUUAAUCAAUUACCCAUAACAAUCAACCUUAUAACAUUCAAUUUAAUUCAUCAAUUAAACUCAAAACACAACUUUUCAAAACCCUAACAUUCAUCAAAACUGAAAUUAAGUUCAAUUAACAUACAUUUAUACAUUUAACAACCUAAAUCUUACCUUUAAACUUAUUCUCUUCAACUCCUUUCUAUUUCCCUUCUAAUUCCCUCUUUUCUCUUCUUCUUCUUCUUUCUCCCUUCACUCCUGCCGGUUCUCUCUCAAAAUAUUCAGAUUUCUCUUCUCUUUUUUUUUUUCCUUCUAUUUAUAUUUAUCAUCUCUUUAUACAAUUAUUAUAAUACCUCUCAUUUAAUUUAUUCCUACAUUUAAGCCUUCAAGGGCUUUCUAGCCUUUUCCUAUCCCUUUAAUUCAAAACAUUACAUUCAUCUAUGUUCUUAUUUUUUGAGAGGGUCCUUGGCUACUAGAAACAAGAAUCACACCCCUAUGGGUUCAGUAGCUUUAUUCAGCCAUGCCAUCUCAGAUUCAUCCAAAUAAGGGGCCAGAAUAUCCCUACAUCUCCCAUGGUAGCUGUUACGCCAAUUUAUCUCUUCAGGACCAAGAAGGGUCAAGUCGAUCAUCUUCGUUUGAUAUGGUGCCCAUGUUUUGUGCUCGAAAGAUAAGUAGCCCUUGUCACCAAAAUUGAAUUUUGUAUCGGCCUCCUUGACGAUAAGCACAUUCUCCAAUCUUAUCCCGAAGUUCCCAUCCUCAUAGUAUCCAGGUUCAUCUGUUACAGUCAUGGAAGCUAAUUACGAGCAUGUGGUCUGAAACUAAUUAAAUGAGGUCCUUCAUGUACAUUUAGGUAUGAUCCAAUACCAUGACCAGUGCCAUGUCGAUAAUCAAGACCAUCCUUCCAUAAAGGAAUUCGAGCAAAGAAUGUCAAGGGCAUGAUCAUUAGUUCAGUUGAGAAAACAAGCAUUACCCAAAGCAACGAAGUUGAUGAUGGUGUGCUGGCUAGCCAAUGCUACACCCCCCCCCUCUGUUUCUGUUUUUUCUUUGUUUGUUCUCUGGUGUUUCUUCUUUGCUUUUUUUUUUCCUCUUUUCUUCCCUUACUCUUUUUGUGGUUUUUCCUUUAUAUUUUUUGUUUUUGUUUUUUAUCUUUUUAAUAUAAAUUAUAUCUUGAAGAUUCAUUUAAUAGUUUAAAAUAUUAAAUUAAAAUAUUUCUUUGAUAUAUUCAAUCUGAUAAAUGCAUUUUGCCUUCGCAAAAAAAUGUGCAGCACACAGAAAUGAUCCCUUUUUUUUUUUGUUCUGAGAAGAAAUAACGAUCCAUUUUAAAGGCCUUCAGAUUUCAACACAUGAAGGGAUGCAUACAUGUCUCAGGAAUUAACAAUGGAGGAGGGAUAACUUUUAAUUGCCACAGAUUCCCUCUGAGUAAGCAUGUUGAAUAGUUUUAUGAAAGUGACAAAAAAUUUGCAUGGUGGUUUCGAGGAGCGGGAAGUGGGAGUAAUCAUUGCUUAUAGGAGAAAGAAAGCACAAGGGAUUUGCCCUAUUGUUUUAUUUCUUUAGAGUAAACGGGUAUUAUCUAGUCCACCUUCAUGUUAAUCAUUUAAUAGCUUGUGCUUUCCUUUACGAGAUCAGCUGUUACUGACAGACUAAAAAUAAGUUUGCAGCUCUGAUUAAAUUAAAACAACAAAAAGGAAAAAGAUGGAAGACAGCUUGCUUCCCUUUCCAAGUUCUUUUGACUUCUCCAAAGAAAAGAACUUGGCUUUAAUUUGAUAUAGUUGCUUGCACAUAGCACUUUGAUAAAGUUGCUUCCACUAAGAGAGAGAUCUCUCAGUAUACCAUUGAUUUCCUAACAUCCCUCUCCAAAUUUCUUAUUGAUUUCCUAACUUCCCUCACCAAAUUUCUUAAACAUAUAGCAUGUCUUUAAACGGAUCAUACUAAAAUUAGCAUUUUCCAACCCCUUAUUGGUUAAUUAGCAUUUUUUAUUAUUAUUUUCUCACUAAAAUUACCGUUUUCUUGCCACCAAAAAAAAUAAAAAUACAUGCAUAGAUGAAGAUGUUAACAUUUAAAUUGGUGGGUGAAGUCUUUUAAGGAAAAGCCUCGAGAUUUAAUAUUUUGGAUAUAUAAAGAAUUGAAGAUUUAAUAUUUUGGAAUUACCAAUUAAGAUUUAAAGAUUUGAUCUUAUUUUAGCUUUUACAAGAACCAGAUCUCAUAUAACAACUGACAUUGAUCCUCUUAGUAUCUUUUUCUGUCCGUAGAACUGGUGCUAGCUAAAGCCAAAGGGAUUACUGUGCCAGAUGGGAAGCAAUGACCCGAGCCCUCUCUUACAAGCAUAUCUUAAAGCAGUGUAAUGUGAACACGUUGAACAGUUAGUGUGAAUAAAUAAAUAAAGCAAGUGAUUCGUGAAAGUGACAUUGGUGGUUUCCAGGAGGCAGUGAGACUAUUCUUUGCAUACAGCACAAGGGGUUUGCAUGUUAAUCAAUUAUUGACUAAAACUAAGCUUGCUGUUUACCUUUCGUAGGUGAAGUUGUAGCUUCCUGCCAAUUUCUAUUGACUUCUCCGAAGAAAAAAACAUAAAGUUGCUUCCAAAUUGCUUUGACUUUGAUAGCUAGUCUUCCACUAAGAGGGGAUCGUCAUUGGUUUCCAAAUAUAUAAAUAAAUAAAUUGAUCUUUCUUAGUUUUUGAAAUCCAUGCCUUCUAGAGUUCAUACCAAAUUCUUAUUUGGUUGUAGAAUUUGUAUGUAGGAUUCUUGAUUGAUCAGUUAGAUCUUGAUUAUAUUAUUGGUGUGAAAAGGCAAUAAUUAAUAACCUUGGAAACUUAGAAGUAAAUAUAAAUGCAAAAGGGAUAUUGUUGUAGUUGAAUAAAGCUUGAUAAGUAUAAAUGAGAUAAAAAAAAAAUAGGAAUUUGAAAUUAAGAGAGAGAACCAGUAGGAGAGAAGAAAAAAUAAAAGAAAAAGAAGAGAAAGGAGGGAAAGAUAAAUAAAGAAAAAGAGAGUCAGAUAAAAUAAGUAUUAAAAGUAAGAUUUAUGUUUUAAUGUGUAUAAUUUUGAUAUUUAUUUUUAAUUUUUAUUUUGUUGAAGAUUAGAAUUUUAAAAAUUUUAAUUAAUAAAUUAAUUUGAGUUAACUGUCAACUACCUGGAAAAAUUCCCUUCCUAAUCAGGAUAGGAUAGUGGACCUCCAUAUAGGGACAAAAGUGCUACCUUAUUAGUGCAAUUCGGUUGGAUAUCCCAAUCUUUGAGUUUGAGUCACUAGUGCCAGUCUUUGACCAAGAAACGUAGGCAGAUCGACUGUAUCUAUUCAAUUCAAGAUUAGCCAGGACUCUUUCCCUUAUCAAGAGCUUACCGGACUGAUUGUCUUCAAUGUCCGGAGUAUGAGUCUAUGUCUGAUCAUUUACUUUUAGGAAUAGAAUUUAGAUUCUGAUCUUUAGUAAUUUUAUGUUAUGAGAUAACAGAUAGAGUUGACUUCCUGUUACUGUUCGGGAAGAGAGUUUGACUUAAAGGAAUGUCUAGAGAGUGAGUUUCGAAGUAUUUUCCGGGACAUGUGAUCUUCUAUUCUAUUUUGAGAUAGGUUGUGAGAAUAGCUUCUCUUAGGGGAGUCUAGUCUAUCUUUAUUUAAUUUCCUGAUUUUAAAUUCAUUUUCAAAUAAAAUAUAUUUUAAAAAAUAAUAUUUAACACAUUUCUAAACAUUGUUGACUACAAAUGAUUUUUGUCCACGAAAAUGAGUAGUGUUUGUUUUCUUUUUGCCAAAUUACACUGUCGUUUCAAAGCCUAUAUUUUGUGCACGACAUGGUAAGUAAACUUUUCCCCGCUUGAUAAUUUCAAAUCUCCCCUUUGAUUCACUUCUCCAGAUAAAUAAAUAAUAAUAAUAAUAAUAAUAAUAAAAACGAGUUUUAUUACAUGUUAUUGUCGUACUGACCAUCACUAGAUAGAACUUGAGAUAUCUUUGUAGGUCAUCUGAAAUGUGAUCAUCAACGGAGAUGGACACAAGAUGAGGCAGUGCUUAACACGCGGGGGGUUUGUCCAAGCUUGCGUUAUGGAAUUGUAUGUCUCUUGGCUCCACGGGUCAGAGGUGAGGACUUCCUCUCCAACUAUAUCAAUCUAAAAAUUUAAGUCUGAAAAACAGUGAAAAACGCAAUGUUCAGUCGCUAUCUGGUGUAUGGGUUGGUGGUGGCAGGGCUGCGUGUUGGUUUCUUCAAGGUUAAUCCAUGCUGUCAUUAGCGAGCCGAAUUGCUCCUCGGCAACAUCACUGUCAUGAUAAUUGCAUAUGUUCCAUCUGAUAAAUGCAUUUUGCCUUCGCAAAAAAAAUGUGCAGCAUAAUUUAUUUUUUCUUCAAUUAUGGAUAAGAAAUUAUCCCUUUUUUUUCUUCUGAGAAGAAAUAAUGAUCCAUUUUAAAGGCCUUCAGAUUUCAACACAUGAAGGGAUGCAUACAUAUCUCAGGAAUUAACAAUGGAGGAGGGAUAACUUUUAAUUUCCACUGAUUUCAUGACAAAACGCACCGUACUAAUCUGUUGUUAAGCCGUUACUUAUGCGCACCGUUUCAAUAAAUUAUAAUUCUCAUUACUGGGAAGGUUGUCAAGUCAGCACCGUCUUCUCCUCUGCCUAAAUAUACUGGCAGUUGUAACAGAAUGGCCAUGCAAAAAAUGAAUGAGAACUGCUGUGGAUUCCCUCUUUUCUCUCCGUCUUUCUCUCGCUCCCUCUUUCCGUCUUUCUCUCGCUCUCUGGAUUCAUUUUUUUAUUAUUAUUAUUAUUAUUUUGAUUAUUAUUUAUUUUAUUUAAAAAAAUUUAUAAAAUUAUAUUUUUUUCAAUUUUAUUUUUAUUCAACUUUUUAAUUUAUAAGAUUUGUUACUUAUUAUUUUAAUAAACUUGAAAAAAAUAAAAUAUUAAUAAAUUAUUUUCCAGUUCAUUUUCCAUAACAUAACCAAACACUGGAAAAUGUUUUCCAACUUAUUUUUUAUUACACUACCAAACAUCAGAAAAUAAUUCAUUUUCCUGAAAUUUACUUUUCUAGAAUUUAUUUUCCAAAAAAAUAUUAUUUUUCAGCAAAUAAAUAGGUAUUAAUAACUAAUGUGUUUAUUAUAUUAGCCGGAAGACAUUUAUUUAGAGAGUAAAACAUCAAAUGCAAGACAGUGGUGCAGUGGGAGCUUCCUAACGAUUGCGAUGGCCUCCGUCCCUUUAUGCAGUUUUCAUUCGUAUGCCAUAGCCAUAACAAUUAAGGAAUAUAGCAUAUCACCGGAGCAAAAGUGCCUUUUCUUUUUAAUGAAUUUUGACAAUUUUAUGGCUGAGGUUGAUUUAAAAAAAAAAAAACUAAUAUUAUGAUAUGGGAUUGUUUUUUUAAAAUAUUUUUUAUUUAAAAAUAUAUCUUCACACGGUGAUGAUCCCAGUUCUUUGCCAAAAGCAAAUAGUAACAGCAAAGUCGGGGUCGGUUAAACCAACUAGCUAGAAUUCGUGUGUUGAGAUACAAAAAACUAUCAGGGGAACGAGAGACUAAAUCUUGAUUAGAACAUUCCAACCCUCACAUCAAUUCGGUUAGAUUAAAUGAUAAUAAAAGCUUACACAAUCCCAUAACGCAAGUCUACUCAAUCACUGCUUUAAUUUGCCAAUAAUCUCAAAGCACGAAACCAUAACAAAAAUGGUGAAUGACCAAUUAAGAUUUAAAGAUUUGAUCUUAUUUUAGCUUUUACAAGAACCAGAUCUCAUAUAACAACUGACAUCGAUCAUCUUAGUAUCUUUCUCUCUCCGUAGAGCUAUUAAAGUCAUCGCAAUUUGCAAGCAACUUUAUGUUUUUUUACUCUAAAGAAAUAAAACAGAGGUGCGAAUCCCUUGUGCUUUCUUUGUCCUGUAUGCAAUGAUUAUUCAUGAAAGUGACAUUGGUGGUUUCCAGGAGGCAGUGAGACUAGUCUUUGCAUACAGGACAAAGAAAGCACAAGGCAUUUACAAUUCUUGACUAAAAGUAAGCUUGCUGUUUACCUGUGGUAGGUGGAGUUGUAGCUUCCAGCCAAUUUCUAUUGACUUCUCCAAAGAAAAAACAUAAAGUUAUUGCAAAUUGCAGUGACUUUUUUAAUAGCUAGUCUUCCACUAAGAGAGAGAUCUCUCAGUAUACCAUUGAUUUCCUAAUUUCCCUCACCAAAUUUCACCGUAUUCUGUUCUUGAUCUGUAUCUUUCUUGCUUGAAAGCACACUAAUUUUGUUUCAAAUAAGAUUUGCCCAUUUGGUUGUAGAAUUAAUAAGUAGGAUUGUAGAUUGAUCAAUCAGGUGGAACUUAAUUAUAUAUGUGUUGCUUGAUCUAUUUUAGAACUCAAAACUCAUAUUUAGCUUUGUUCUUUCAUAUUGCCAUCAACUUAAACUAUUUAUCUUGAAAACAGCUGCUCUCAAGGUUUCUUUUGUCUGUUGAGUGCCUCUUGUCAGCUUGACAGGUGACUAGUUUGCCUACUCUUUCUCAUAUUCUUGUGCUUCCAUUUUCAGAUCAGCUUUCCCAGAGUUUCAACAUUGGGGCGCGUCCACACGUUUCCUCACUCAGCAAUUAGCUUCAGAUUCUUUUGUUAAAAUUCUUUUGAAUCCAGGUAAAGUGUUUAUACUUCAUCUUCUUCAUUUUGUUGCUGUCUUUGUUUUUGACAAGUAACUAUUGUUUGAAUCUUUUUAAGUAAAACACAAGUUGUACAAAUUUUAUUGAGAAACUUUGGAUUUUGUAUCAUCAAUAGUUUCCAAAUAUAAAUAAAUUGAUCUUUCUUAGUUUUUAUAAAUAAAUUGCCUUAUGGAGUUCAUACCAAAUUCAUUUUUUUUUCUUUUUAUAUUCUUUGCUGUUUUUAACUUAUUAUUUUAGUUUCAACCUUUCCUUUUCUGAUCGAUGUAACUUACAUUAAUUUUAUUCAAUAUUUUGACUCUGUUUUUAUAUAUAGGGCAAAAUGGUUCAAUCAAACUACCCAUUUUGGCACCAUGUUGCGGAGAUGAAGUGUAUGUAUUGUGGGCAUCAAUUUGCUAAGGAUACUUCCAUUUCAAGGAUCAAAUGGCAUUUAUCAGGAGAGAAAGGGCAUGGUGUUGCAAUUUGUGAAAGAGUUCCUAAACAAGUUCAAGAAGCAGCUUUUCUCGCUAUGCAUGGUGCCAACAAAAGACAUAAAAGCAUAGCAAGUUCAAGCAAUGUUAAUGAUAAUGCCAUUUCAACCACUCCACAAGAACAAAACAAUAAUGAAGUCGACAAGUUGGCAGGAGAUGCAGGAAAGACACAAGCACCAGAUAGAAUGGAUCACGCACUUGAAAAACGUAUGGAAGAGCUCAGUAAAUUGUUAAUGGAGGAUGAUAUAGAGAAUGGGACUGGAGGAGUAGUGCAGCCUGGUGCAGGAGCUAGCUCUUCUGGAGGGCUUACAGGCGACACAAAUGAGAUUCCAGGAGACGCAGUACCAACGACAAAGCUGGUGGGUCAAGCAUUCAAAGACCAUAAGAAGACUAUCUGGACUUGGUUGAUGCACGAUGAAGUUUCAACUAUUGGCAUCUAUGGGAUGGGCGGAGUGGGAAAGACGACAUUGGUGAAACAUAUAUAUGACCAGCUUCAAAAAAGACGAGACAGUUUCUGCAAUGUUUACUGGAUUACUGUUUCACAAGACACUAACAUUAAUAAAUUGCAAUACAGUAUCGCCAGACGGAUUGGUUUAGAUCUUUCUAAUGAAGAUGAGGAGCUGUAUAGAGCUGCUGAAUUGUCAAAAGAAUUAACGAAGAAACAGAAAUGGGUUUUGAUUUUAGACGAUUUGUGGAAGGCUAUUGAGCUACACAAGGUGGGAGUCCCUAUCCAAGCUGUUAAGGGAUGCAAGCUGAUCGUUACAACACGAUCAGAAAAUGUUUGUCAGCAGAUGGGUAAACAACACAUAAUCAAAGUGGAGCCUAUUUCGAAGGAAGAAGCUUGGGCUUUGUUUAUUGAGAGACUUGGACACGACACAGCACUUUCUCCGGAAGUGGAACAAAUUGCAAAAUCUGUGGCAAGGGAAUGUGCUGGUUUGCCGCUAGGAGUUAUAACCAUGGCUGCAACCAUGAGGGGAGUGGUUGAUGUACGUGAGUGGAGGAAUGCGUUGGAGGAAUUGAGAGAAUCAAAAGUUAGAAAAGAUGAUAUGGAGCCUGACGUAUUCUACAUAUUGAGAUUUAGUUAUAACCAUCUAAGUGAUUCAGAACUGCAACAAAGUUUCUUGUACUGUGCAUUAUUCCUGGAAGACUUCAAGAUCCGUAGAGAGGAUUUGAUAGCUUAUUUGAUUGACGAGGGAGUGAUAAAAGGGCUGAAGAGUAGGGAGGCAGAAUUUAACAAAGGCCACUCGAUCCUUAAUAAACUUGAAAGAGUCUGCCUAUUGGAAAGUGCUGAGGAAGGGUAUGUCAAGAUGCAUGACUUGAUUAGGGACAUGGCCAUCCAAAUACUACAAGAGAACUCUCAAGGCAUGGUAAAAGCAGGUGCACAGUUAAGAGAAUUGCCGGGAGAAGAGGAGUGGACAGAGCAUCUUAUGAGAGUUUCACUGAUGCAUAACCAGAUUAAAGAAAUUCCUUCCAGCCAUUCACCAAGGUGUCCCAGUCUUUCAACUCUAUUGUUACGUGGAAAUUCAGAGUUGCAAUUUAUAGCAGAUUCAUUUUUUGAGCAGUUGCGUGGACUCAAGGUUCUUGAUCUGUCUUAUACAGGUAUCACAAAACUACCUGAUUCUGUCUCUGAAUUGGUGAGUCUCACUGCAUUACUGCUCAUUGGUUGUAAGAUGUUAAGGCAUGUACCGUCAUUAGAAAAGCUCAGGGUACUGAAGAGGUUAGAUCUCUCUGGUACUCGGGCACUUGAAAAGAUUCCUCAAGGCAUGGAAUGUCUAUGCAACCUGAGGCAUCUUAGAAUGAAUGGAUGUGGUGAAAAGGAGUUUCCUAGUGGGUUGUUACCUAAGCUCUCUCACCUGCAAGUCUUUGUAUUGGAGGAGUGGAUUCCUCCUGGUACCAAAGAUAAUAGAAGAGGACAACCUGCUCCGUUAACUGUUAAAGGAAAGGAAGUGGGUUGUUUGAGGAAGUUGGAAAGUUUGGUAUGCCAUUUUGAAGGUUACUCAGACUACGUGGAGUUUAUCAAAUCUCGGGAUGAAACCAAAUCACUAACCACAUACCAAACUCUUGUAGGACCACUGGAUAAGUAUGAUUAUGAUUAUGAUGAUUAUGAUUAUGGUUGCAGAAGGAAAACAAUUGUUUGGGGUAGCUUGAGUAUCGACAGAGAUGGAGGUUUUCAGGUCAUGUUUCCAAAGGACAUUCAACAAUUGACUAUUGAUAAUAAUGAUGAUGCAACAAGUUUAUGCGAUGUUUCCUCUCAAAUAAAGUAUGCAACUGAUCUGGAGGUUAUCAAGAUUUUUAGUUGCAAUAGCAUGGAGAGCUUGGUUUCAUCUUCUUGGUUCCGCUCUACUCCACCACCAUCUCCAUCUUACAACGGUAUAUUUUCUGGUCUUAAGAAGUUCUUUUGCUCUGGAUGUAGUAGUAUGAAGAAGUUGUUCCCUCUUGUCCUGCUGCCAAACCUUGUAAAAUUAGAAGAGAUUAUAGUUGAAGACUGUGAGAAGAUGAAGGAGAUAAUAGGUGGAACAAGACCAGAUGAAGAGGGGGUUAUGGGUGAAGAAACCAGCAGCAGCAAUAUCGAAUUCAAACUCCCAAAGUUAAGAAAUAUG